rnacentral:rRNA from 1 species
UACGGGGGUGCGAGCGUUAAUCGGAAUUACUGGGCGUAAAGGGUGCGUAGGUGGUUAGAUAAGUUAUUUGUGAAAUCCCUGGGCUUAACCUGGGUUGGACGGAUGAUACUGUUUAGCUAGAGUAUGGGAGAGGGUAGUGGAAUUUCCGGUGUAGCGGUGAAAUGCGUAGAGAUCGGAAGGAACACCGGUGGCGAAGGGCGGCUACCUGGCCUGAUACUGACACUGAGGCACGGAAAGCGUGGGGAGCAAACAGG